rnacentral:rRNA from 1 species
UACGAAGGGGGCUAGCGUUGCUCGGAUUUACUGGGCGUAAAGGGCGCGUAGGCGGCAAUUCAAGUCACUUGUGAAAUCUCCGAGCUUAACUCGGAACGGUCAAGUGAUACUGCUUUGCUAGAGUGCAGAAGGGGCAACCGGAAUUCUUGGUGUAGCGGUGAAAUGCGUAGAUAUCAAGAGGAACACCGGAGGUGAAGACGGGUUGCUGGGCUGACACUGACGCUGAGGCGCGAAAGCUAGGGUAGCAAACGGG